UUUUGACUGAAGGUUAUCCGCCAUUUUUGAAAAACUUGUUACUUGGAUGUAUUUAUUUAUAUUUUACCUUUUUAUGACUAUUCAGAGCUGGUGUCAACGACAAAUUGAACUGUGUCAUCUUGGAAGCGUGUGUCAACAGAAUUCUAUACAACCACCAGUCGGUGACAUUGCCAGAAUUAAAACUGCAUUGGGCCACUCGCAGGAACCUCCUUAUUUAUGGACCACUGGUGGGAGGCGCUGUAUUUAAUUGUUGGAGUCAAUGAUCUCGAGGUCCAACCGUGACAACAUCUACAUACCUGCAGCAGCCGUCCUACUGACUUAAACAUUAAUAGCCGGCCAAGAAGUUUCUUGGAGCAGUCUUGACUCAGAGAGAGCCACCUAUAGCUACUUCCAUCAGCCACUUUCUUGCUUCUGCGGAGUGUGUACCUUUGAGGAGGCAGCCCCCCUCCCGGCCAGGAACACGGUUUCUUGGCCACGUCUAACCUUUGGGGAUCUGCAACUGUGUGGAGGAGACUGCUGUUGCCAGCCCCAUGUGCAUCGUAUGAGACACUGCCAAACCCCGAGUCUGUGUAUGACCGCCAGCCACUACCCCAGCCUUUACCAUUUACUGCCAAUGCAGACUCUGGAUCUUCUAUUGUAAUAGAGACUUAGUGAUACCACAACCAAAUAGUUAAAAAAAGAAGCCUGAGAGGCAGUAUGUGAAGGAGUACACAAGAAAGUGGGCCCAACAGACAUAUUCUUGCCAUAAGUGUGGUCAACUGAGGACCGCCCCAACGCAUACACAUCAUUAAGGCAGUGGAUACUCCGCAAAGACAGCUUCAAGGACAUUUGAGGAGUCACAGUCCUCAGAAGGUAGCCAAAAGACCAGCAAAGAAGCAAAAAUAGACAGACCGAGAACAACCCUUGAUCAAGGCAGUGUUUAAACAAUCAAAAGUGUUUUGAUAGUGAUGGUGCCUUCACUGAACAUGACAGGCCCCACUGAACAUGACAGGCCCUUCACUAAAGGUGAAAUGUAAAACCCCAAAUCUGACCAUGAUUAGUGAUUUUUAUUUAAAUUUUCAAAACCACCUGUGGCUUUACAAUUGGGAAAAUAAGCGUGUUAAUUCCCAAAAUUGGGAAAAUACAAUGAACAUUAAAAUGGUCAUUUAAAAUAACCAGUAACAAAGACACCUAUCAAAACUGUUUCAACUCUCUUUAAUGACAGUUACUAUCAUUAAAACAUGUAUAACACAAUUUUUGUGCCAAUGAUCCCUAUCAAUGUUGGGAAAUUCUUCAUAAAUAAUUACAAAGGAAAUAAUCUAUAAAAUACUAUAAUGAAUAACAUUGGUAUUUUCAACAUAAUAUGCACUGACUCUGUUAACACCUUACAUUGUUUAAUCCCUUGUUUUAACUCUUUGAAAUAGUCGAUUGUUUGAUUAACAAGUUCUUAAAAAUUUCAGAGAUAAUUUAAUGGGCUUAUCUUCCUCUUAAAUUGGAUACAAAAUCUGCUGUCUUUUAAAAAUGAUGGCUUUCACACUCAUAGAGAGAAUGGAAUGAAUAUAUCAAUAUUUUUAUAUUUUUUUCCAAUUUCCAAAUAGUCAGACUUGUUUGCAAUUGAUCAAAAACAAAUGAUUGAAUUUUGUAAAAUUUCAUCAACAUGUUUCCUUCGGCAUUCAUCAAAUAGUAAAUACACCAUCAUUUUAAUAAAUAAAUACGUUUGUCAUUUCACCCAGUUGUCUACUUUCAGUUUCACUUCUCAGUUCUGUCAUUUUCUGAUAUUGACAAUGAAGGUCAAAGAACAGCAUUGUCUAUUAGUUAUUUUAAUUUCCGCCUGCACCGAAUAAUUUACUGUCACUUUUGAAUUAUUAUUCCUUUUGUUGACAAUGACACAAGUUUUUUAACACAAGGUUUUUAACUAUUAAUUUUUUACAUGCUCUCUGAUUGGAUAAAAAAUAUUGUUAAACCAAUGAAAAUCCACCUUUCACCAUAACGUGGAUGUUACAUCAUUGUAUGUCUCUGUAAAUAGACGCUUGCAUGUAGGGGAAAUAACUGUUUUGUUAAUAUUUUCAUUGUCUUUUAUUCUUAUUUUCUUUUGAAGUUUUAGAACUCCAGAUUGGGAAUUUUUAUUCAGAAAUAGGAAAAAGGGAUACUUUUUGCCAUUGAGAACAUGACCGAAUACCGGCUAUAAAUAUUGCCGAAGAAAACCCUGACAAUUCAUAAUUGUAUUUUUUAUUCAUUUCUGAGGGGAAAUAAUUACCUUUUUUUUUGGAAAAUAUGACUAUUUUUGGGGGAAAAUCGGACGAUUUUCGGCAAGGGGAAUCAGCUGUUAUUCGGCGGUAAAUUUCACGAAAAAAAUCACUGCCAUGUUGCCCCUGAUAUUGAUGUUUUAUUGAUAUAUUUCCUAAUACUGAUAUUUUAUACUAGGCUUGACAUUUAAUUUGAAUCAAACUGAAUUUUCAUAUCUGUAAUGUUGUACUUUGUAUUGGCUUGUAAUCUAUUUUUGCUAUUUUUGCAACACUUAUAGUUGAAAUUUGACAAAUUUAAAGAGUCUGUCGGAUAUCUUAUUCGUUUUAAUUAAUUCUAUUUUCAUUUAAUUUUAUCAGCAUUAUUUCAUUAAUUUUACCAGUGAGUUACUUACUUUGAAAAUGAAUUAGUUUUACUUAAAGUAACAUUAGUUCACAUAUCUUUAUUUAUCUUUGGCUCACUAUUUUUCCAAUUUAACUAUCAAAAAUGAUUAAAACUAUCAAAAAUGGUUAAAAAUAGAAGAAUAUUCUUAAAAUGCUACUGUUCUUUGCUGUUAGUACUUCUGUACAUAUCUUUUGCAUAGAAUGAAGGUCUAAGGUCCUUGUAAAAGCUGAUCCCUUAUCUUAAUCCUUUCCCUUCUAACUGCCUUGUCAGUGUGUCUGACAGUUGGUUCUGUUAGUCAGUCAUUGUAAUGCUUUACUGGUGAAUUUGUCAGUGUUUAACAUUUUUGGAAUGAACUUUGGUUACUUUCUGUCUAUUUUCAUUUAAAGUAAAGGUUUCGGCAUAUUGCUCUAAAUCAAGCCAUCGUAGUCUUAAGAAAGACACUUACCAUGUGGUAUGAGUUCUGGGUUCAAAUCCCAGCGGUGGCUAUAAGAAUUGCAGUUUGGGGCUCAAAUACAGAUUCCUUCAUAAAGCCAGAAAAGUUUCCAAUUGCAUUAAAAUACAUAAAUUUUAAUUUCCAAUUAAACUGUGACAAUUU